rnacentral:lncRNA from 1 species
GAGAAAAGAUAGAAGAGAGAGAAAGAAAGUUGACAAAUGAAAAAGUUUUCAGAAAAAACAGCUUCUAAUGUAGGUUUUAUUAAUCUGGUGUCAAACUCAUUGUUUGGGUAAACCAUCAAACAACCCAUUGUUUUCAUUAACCAGGAAAUUGAGCACCAAUGCAUGUGUUUCUAGUUUUUCAUUUGUCACCUCAUCAUUCAAAUAUGUCAAGUGCUAAUUGGAUUACCUAUAGGCAAGUGGAACAUGAUCAUUGGAUGGAAAUUGGCAGCACAUUAGUGGAUGAAAUUGGCAAAGUUUCAUUGGACAAUAUGCAUGGUUGUUGAUCACCAAUUGGCCAAAUCAAUUAGGGUUUCAUUAGGGUUUCAAGUUUGAUCCUCCAACUCCACCAUCUUUUAGUAUAAUAGGAUAGGAU